GGGUGCUUAGCUCAGCUGGUAGAGCGUCGCCCUUACAAGGCGAAUGUCGGCGGUUC
rnacentral:tRNA from 1 species